rnacentral:rRNA from 1 species
GACGAACGCUGGCGGCGUGCUUAACACAUGCAAGUCGAGCGGUAAGGCCCUUUCGGGGUACACGAGCGGCGAACGGGUGAGUAACACGUGGGUGACCUGCCCUCAGCUCUGGGAUAAGCCUGGGAAACCGGGUCUAAUACUGGAUAUGACUCCAUGACGCAUGCUGUGGGGUGGAAAGCCUUGUGCGGCUGAGGAUGGGCCCGCGGCCUAUCAGCUUGUUGGUGGGGUGAUGGCCUACCAAGGCGACGACGGGUAGCCGGCCUGAGAGGGCGACCGGCCACACUGGGACUGAGACACGGCCCAGACUCCUACGGGAGGCAGCAGUGGGGAAUCUUGCGCGAAUGGGCGAAAGCCUGACGCAGCGACGCCGCGUGAGGGAUGACGGCCGU